rnacentral:tRNA from 1 species
GGGUCGGUAGCUCAGCCGGUAGAGCAGCGGACUUUUAAUCCGUUGGUCUAUCACCAAGCAUCAUGCAGUAUCG